ensembl:lncRNA
GGCUACUUGACUGACCGUCUGGUCUGGAAUGAUUGACAGGUCCUAUGGAGGAGGCAGCAGAGACUCUGCUCUCCUCCUUUGGAUUAAUUCUGAUAUAAUAACUGUUGGUUUAUUUAUCGGUGCAGCAGCAGAACCUUUUCCACAGACCGUUUUCCUGCCCGUUGGCUUGUGUUAACCAGUUUUCUGGCUUCGGCUGAUUCUACCAGCAGACACUGAAAGGACUCUGAUUGUUUGGUCCCUCUCUAUCUCCCCACACAUCCACCAACCACUGGAACACAUCUCCAAAGUUCUGCUGGGCCAGCUCAGCUUCCCCUCAGAAGAAGUACCGCCACCUGCCAGAUGAAGUAGCCUUUUGAGAGGCAGCUGGCAUCGUGAUUGGACUGUACUUUGGUCUGUUCCAAUCCAGCUUCAGCUCCAGAGACGGCAGGCGGGACGAGUCAACGGAGGCCGGAUGGACGAAGGCAUGAAGCUGAGUACAAUCCAGAAAACAACAGAGGAGGAGUGCAGCAGCCCAGAGCCAGAACAACUAGAGUAGCAUCGUAUCUCUUAGAAAACAUCAUAGUAGAGCCUUUGACCAAAGAACUACAGACUCUUCACAACCUGCUCAAACUCUUGGUACAGGACCUCACCACACGGGUCAAGAAGGUUUCUGUCUCAUUUCUACUCUGAAGCUCACCUUCUCCUGCUCAAACUGCUGACAAAUGUUUCUGCUGCUCUAAAGUC